GUGCAUUUGUAAGAAAAACUUUGCUUGCCAUGGAUCAUAAAUAAUUGAACACCAAAAUUUAUUUCAAAGAUUAAAAGAGGAACUUUCAGUGACAAAUGUAUUGGGGCUUUUUCCCAUCGCGUAGUGUUACAACUAGCACAAAGACAAGGAAGACUGAGUCAUUAGAGGGCGCUAUUAAUGAAAAUAUAUUUAUCUUUUGCUGUUAUAAAUCCAACGGAGAAUCUAGACGCCAACUUUUGCGCUCCCUGCAAAUUCAAUGCUUUUCCGUAACAUCUUUGAGGUCUGGUAUCCAGACUUCCUUCUUUACAAGAGGAACCUCCAGCGUACCACUCGGUUCAACUCAAAUCGGCGUGCGCGUGACCGGUGACCGGUCAUACAUACUGCACAUGUACACUACAUGACAGAUGUUUGUUGCGGUAGUGAUGUGCUUGUAAUGUAAGUUGUAUUCUUUCCACUUUGUACUGGUUCUGCACUGAAGUACAUUUACCAAUUCCAAGUGCUACAGUAUGGAGACUAGUGUACAAUCUAAACAAGGGUUACAAGAUGACCUGAAGCCGAUGCCUGGCUGCGACCUUCGACCUGCGACCUCAAGUAGUAACCUAGCUGCAAGUUACCAGGCUGCAGUAGAUUUUACCGCGGGGGCUUUAGGUGGUGUGGCAUGUGUCUUAGUUGGUCAACCUUUUGAUACAGUCAAAGUCAAGCUCCAGACCUACCCCAAUCUCUACCCCAGUGCUAUGAGAUGUUGUGGACAGAUCUUCAAGAAAGAGGGGAUUCCAGGUUUGUUUCGGGGCACUCUUCCUGCAAUGGCAGCUAAUGUUGGAGAAACAUCCGUCUUAUUCUUAUGCUAUGGACUCUGUCAGAAGUUUGUGUGUCGCCUCUCGGGAACAGACAAUAUAGAAAAUUUGUCAGUUAUUCAGAAUGCCUCAUCAGGGUUUGUUGCUGGCUUCUUUUCAUCGCUUGUCCUUUGUCCAACGGAGCUUGUCAAAUGUCGUCUACAAGCUAUGACAGAGGUCAUGGCCACCUCUCAGAAACAAACACAGAGAAUAGGACCUUGGCAAAUAACCAAGAAUAUCCUCAGGAAUGAAGGCAUCUUGGGACUCUUCCAAGGUUUAACAAGCACGUGGGUACGGGAGAUGCCAGGCUAUUUCUUUUUCUUCUUCUUCUAUGAAAUCUCAAGAGCUGUGCUUACCCCAGCAGGAACUAGCAAGGAUGAUUUGAGUCCAUUACGUCAAAUGGUCUGUGGUGGCAUGGCUGGAGCUGGUCUAUGGACAGCCAUAUAUCCAGUAGAUCUUGUCAAAUCUAGGAUACAAGUCAGAUCUGUCACGGAGAAAAUGCCAGGCUUUCUCUCAGUUACCAUGGAUAUUAUUAGGAAAGAAGGUUUUUUGAAGCUCUAUUCUGGUCUGGGUCCCUGUGUUCUACGAGCAUUCCCUGCUAAUGCUGCAUUGUUUCUCACCUAUGAAUGGAGCAGAAAACAGAUGAUGCUACACAGACCAGGUUGGGCAUUGUGAUGUCAUCGUUCAGGUCAUCAACAACAUUUUCAUAUAGGCAAUAAUUAAUGACAAUCUUUUUGCAUCCGCGGUCUGUCAUUGACCGUGUACAUUUAACUUUAGUUACAGCACUCUCGUUUAAAGAUCAGUCACAUUGGUAAUUCACAAAUUUCAAUUUUUUAUGAAAUUUAGUUAUAUUUUAAAUAGUCUCAAUUGGUAAAAGCCAAAUAAAGGUUGUUACUGAAGUCAAAAUCAAAAGUUGAAGUCCUUCAUCAUAUCAGGCAAACUGAAAACAAAAGUUGUGUGGAGCAUCCAGUAGAAGCCUGUUUUGAUGACGUCACACUAUGGCUCUGCAAUUAUAUGACUAUCAUUACUUCGAGGCAAACGAGCCUGCGUGCAUGAGCGCUGUACUUGCUCGCACUUAAUUGUAAAUUAAAAGAGGUAGGACAGUGAGAGCAACUUGGAAUUACCUUUCCAUCGACAAUGUUGAUCAACACUGGAUCUUAUGAUAACGUUGAACAGUCCCAAUUUGAAUCAGAGUAAGGUAGUGAUGAAUUCCAGGCAGAUGGCUGCAGUCAUUUGCCCAGAAUUACAUCUAACUUACUUUACGCAUUUUUUCUCUGUUAUUGUGCUAUAAAGCCACUUAUUAUGGCUGCAAGGUCAAGAAACUCUGGGGGAAUGAGAGCCAUAUUAUGACAUCAUCAAAUGGCCAAAUUUAUUUGCCGCCCUCAUCAAUGCUUUUUUUUUAACUCCCGCAUUCUCAUGGUAGAACUUUAACUCCCAAAAAUGACAAUUUUUUUUUUUAAUGCAAAGAGAAGUUGCCACAUUAGUCAUAAUAUGGGUAAUAAUGACCAAUUCCUUGUUAAAUAACCAAUAACCAAUGCAAUGUGAUUGAUCAUUAAAGCAUUUUCAAGUUGAAAUAUUACAUCCCAGAUAAGACAUGCAAAAUAUUGACCAGUGAUUUGUUGGUUCCGGUUAUAUGCAACGGUGCAUCAGCUGAAAUGGGUUGCCUUCCUGGACUGGCCUUCACUCCUUAAGCCUGGUAACGGUCCAACAGAAAAUCAGGCUUCACUGAAUCACUGAAAAUAUUUGCACUGAGACCUUGACAUAAAUACAUGAAAUUAAAAACUACUGAUUCAUGAAAAGCAAUCUAAUUUGUGAACUAACUCACCAAGAUAUUUCUCAAGUUUUUGAUCAUUUCUCGUUUUCAAUUUUUCAAAGUUCAGUGUGCAUUAUUUAUGUUGUCAUAGGGGCCACUGGUUCCUGGCCAUUCCACGUCAUUCUUGCUAUUUGUAGCCGUAGGAACCAGUUCACCAUGCAUGUAGUCUUCCACACAAUUUACCCGAUACAAGAUGCUUCACAUUUGCGAGGAAGCCUGCAGAGUUUGCAAAUCACCAAUUAUGACAGACAUUUUAUAUUUGACUCUUUACACGCUCAUCUUCAAAAAUAUUUACGGAAAAAUUCAAACAAUUUUGGAUGGCUCUGGAUGUGUUUGCCGUCAGAUUAUGCUGUACAGUGCAGGUGCACUUGUGCAUUGGUUUUAUGCUGUUACAUUAGUUUCAGCACUGCUCAGAUAAUGCAAAAUAAGCUCGGUACUGAGUUAUUGUAACGGUAAUCUGUAGCAUGCAGCACAUACAUACAUGUAGUGGCGAUCCACGUUGCUUUCCUUGUAGUCUUGAAUUCAAAGUCCAGUGGUGAAAGCAACUGAUAAUAAAUGCCUGUGGUGUGAAAGCUGGUACCCCGCUGCCGUUGUAAGACCACUUCAAAUGUCUGGCUUCUAAGUCCAAUGAAAUGCUCCUUCACCCAUGAACGUUUCACACUUACUUUGAUGAUGUACAGGUCAUUCUAUCUGUUACUGGGAGCAAAGUUGAAUAGGUCAUAGUUCACGCAAGUCAAAAAAUCAAUUUCUUUUUCUUUUUUUAUGAAAUUGGAAUUUUGAUUUUCAGUUUUAGACCUUAACCCACCCACUACUUAAAAAAGUAUCCAAGGAUAUGUAAUACAAAACUGCUGCAAACUGAUUGCUCCACUACAGUGACCUAACAUACAAAUCUUAAAAUAUGGAGGGCCUGACAUUUCGAUCCUAGCAGAAUCUUUCUCAAAGGCAAAUAUUCUGCUAGGAU